GGGGGUGAAUUAGUUUCGACGUGGGUAGGGAGAGCAUCAGAAGCGAGCCGAGGUCCCCGAUGCCUCGUUAAAAGCGGGAUUGCAAUAACUGCAAACAAUAAUUACGCCUUAGCUGCAUAAAUCAGCUAACGUCC
rnacentral:tmRNA from 1 species